AUACUUACCUGGCAGGGGAGAUACCAUGACCACGAAGGUGAUUUUUCCCAGGGCGAGGCUUAUCCAUUGCACUCUGGAUAUGCUGACCCUUCUAUUUCCCCAAAUGUGGGAAAUUCUACUGCAUGAUUUGUGGUAGUGGGGAACUGCAUUUGUGCUCUCUUAU
ensembl:snRNA U1 U1 spliceosomal RNA